AUUGAACGCUGGCGGCAGGCCUAACACAUGCAAGUCGAGCGGAUGAAGGGAGCUUGCUCCUGGAUUCAGCGGCGGGCGGGUGAGUAAUGCCUAGGAAUCUGCCUGCUAGUGGGGGAUAACGUCCGGAAACGGGCGCUAAUACCGCAUACGUCCUGAGGGAGAAAGUGGGGGAUCUUCGGACCUCACGCUAUCAGAUGACCCUGGGUCGGAUUAGCUAGUUGGUGGGGUAAAGGCCUACCAAGGCGACGAUCCGUAACUGGUCUGAGAGGAUGAUCAGUCACACUGGAACUGAGACACGGUCCAGACUCCUACGGGAGGCAGCAGUGGGGAAUAUUGGACAAUGGGCGAAAGCCUGAUCCAGCCAUGCCGCGUGUGUGAAGAAGGUCUUCGGAUUGUAAAGCACUUUAAGUUGGGAGGAAGGGCAGUAAGUUAAUACCUUGCUGUUUUGACGUUACCAACAGAAUAAGCACCGGCUAACUUCGUG
rnacentral:rRNA from 1 species